GCAAGUCGAGGGGUAACAGCGGUAGCUUGCUACUUGCUGACUACCGGCGCACGGGUGCGUAACGCGUAUACAAUUUACCUUGUACAGGAGAAUAGCCUUUAGAAAUGAAGAUUAAUACUCCAUAGUCUAUUGAGAUCGCCUGAUUUUAAUAGUAAAGAUUUAUCGGUACAAGAUGAGUAUGCGUUCUAUUAGCUAGAUGGUAAGGUAACGGCUUACCAUGGCAACGAUAGAUAGGGGUCCUGAGAGGGAGAUC
rnacentral:rRNA from 1 species